CGAGUCGGACAGAAGGGAUGACUUGCUCCCGGAUGUUAGCGGCGGACGGGUGAGUAACACGUGGGUAACCUGCCUGUAAGACUGGGAUAACUCCGGGAAACCGGAGCUAAUACCGGAUAGUUCCUUGAACCGCAUGGUUCAAGGAUGAAAGACGGUUUCGGCUGUCACUUACAGAUGGACCCGCGGCGCAUUAGCUAGUUGGUGAGGUAACGGCUCACCAAGGCGACGAUGCGUAGCCGACCUGAGAGGGUGAUCGGCCACACUGGGACUGAGACACGGCCCAGACUCCUACGGGAGGCAGCAGUAGGGAAUCUUCCGCAAUGGACGAAAGUCUGACGGAGCAACGCCGCGUGAGUGAUGAAGGUUUUCGGAUCGUAAAGCUCUGUUGUUAGGGAAGAACAAGUGCAAGAGUAACUGCUUGCACCUUGACGGUACCUAACCAGAAAGCCACGGCUAACUACGUGCCAGCAGCCGCGGUAAUACGUAGGUGGCAAGCGUUGUCCGGAAUUAUUGGGCGUAAAGGGCUCGCAGGCGGUUUCUUAAGUCUGAUGUGAAAGCCCCCGGCUCAACCGGGGAGGGUCAUUGGAAACUGGGAAACUUGAGUGCAGAAGAGGAGAGUGGAAUUCCACGUGUAGCGGUGAAAUGCGUAGAGAUGUGGAGGAACACCAGUGGCGAAGGCGACUCUCUGGUCUGUAACUGACGCUGAGGAGCGAAAGCGUGGGGAGCGAACAGGAUUAGAUACCCUGGUAGUCCACGCCGUAAACGAUGAGUGCUAAGUGUUAGGGGUUUCCCCCCUUAGUGCUGCAGCUAACGCAUUAUCACUCCGCCUGGGGAGUACGGGUCGCAAGACUGAAACUCAAAGAAUUGACGGGGGCCCGCACAAGCGGUGGAGCAUGGGUUUAAUUCGAAGCAACGCGAGAACUUACCAGGUCUUGAUCUGACAACCCUAGAUGGCUUUCCCUC
rnacentral:rRNA from 2 species